rnacentral:ncRNA from 6 species
UUGACCUCAAAUCAGGUAGGAGUACCC